rnacentral:rRNA from 1 species
GGUUGCGAUCAUACCAGCACUAAUGCACCGGAUCCCAUCAGAACUCCGCAGUUAAGCGUGCUUGGGCGAGAGUAGUACUAGGAUGGGUGACCCCCUCCGCAGUUAAGCGUGCUUGGGCGAGAGUAGUACUAGGAUGGGUGACCCCCUGGGAAGUCCUCGUGUUGCAACCC